rnacentral:lncRNA from 1 species
AACUACAGCAAAACUUUGAUUUCUUUCACAUUCAAAUCUUUGACGAACAAGUAAUUUACUACCUAUUUAAAUAUGACCAUCAUCGCUGCAAAUUUUACAAAGCAAAACUAUACUUUCGGAAAAAUCAAGUUUUUCUUUAUUUUCCCAAAUGUUUUUUUUAUAUGAAUUUGGACCUCAAUAAAUUAUAGCUUAUUUAUAUUGGAGCAGAUUUAUGAUGUUGGGCCAAAUAUAUUAUGUAACUUUGCAUAAUUUUAAAACAUUAGCUAUUAUUAAAUAUAAAUUUUAUUCUUAACAUUUUAGUAUAAUUUGGGCCUUGUAUAAAAUAUUUUUGUAGGCUAUUUGUUUGAGCCUCACUUGUAUUCAUGGGGUAAAAAUAUUGAAAAGCCCAUAAUAUUUUAGAUACUUAUCGAAUGUAAUUCUUUAAAUUUUUGUAGAAUUUCAACCACAACUUUAAUUCUUCCAGUUUAAAAAUCCUCCUCAGCCAUCCAAUUUAUUUAGUCAAUCUUGUGCAAUAAGGAAUUCAUUUUAUCCUUUCCACCGCCUCACUUUUUUAUAAAAUUAGCUUCUCUCAUUUUCUGGAAAUAUUUCGAAAAUACAGCUAGCCAAUUUUGAUUUCCACAGCAGCAAAUUUAGCAGCAAAUUUUGAAGCAGCCAACUUUGAAGCAACAAAGUUUGAUUGAUCUCUUUUCACACUUUCACACGUUCUAUGUCAAAUAUUUCAAUCUAUUUAAACAUCAAUGUAUCAUUCUCAAAUUCAGAAAUCAACAAAAAAAUUCACUCAAAUAUUUCCAAUUCGCAGCAACUGAUUUACUUCACUCAUUCAAGCUGGUAAUUUUAAUAACUUUUGUAAAGUUAUUUCAUUUCAAGCAUAUCAAUAGUUUUCUUCAUUUUCGCCAAAACCAAGGCUAAACACAAAAACUUUGUUUUCAAAAAAUCCAAUCAUGCAUACAUCUAUUUUUCUCUAAUUUAUAUAUUGCUAAAUACAUGAAAAAGAAAAUAGAAAUAGAAGAAGAAAAAGGGGAAAUAGUGGGUGAGUGGCUGCUGCCGAUCCGGGAAAACGGAAGGGAACCGACUGAAAAGCUGCGCCGCGCGCUGUUGCUGGCGGAGGGCGGCGACCGGCGGACGGAAUCAGGGGCGGUGGCGGAAGGAGACAGGAGCAGGGCGACGGUGCUAUGGUCUCGACCGUGCGUCUCUGAUCGGGAAGAGGGAGAAGGCGGCCUGACCGGCUUGUGCUGUCGGCCAGGAGGAGGCGCUGGCAGGCGGCGAGGGUCGCCGGAGAAGAGGUAGGCGCGGUGUGGAGAGCAGACCGAGGGAGAGGGGGAGAAGGGAAAAAGGAGGGCUGCUGGAGAAGGGUGCGUGAGUGUGCUGGUGAUUUUGUGUGUGGAGUUUUAAAUUAGGUUGAAGAGUAGUGGGCUUAGGGUCUCUUGAUAAAUGGAUGUAGGAAUGGGCUUUUAAAAGUGGGUUAAUAAUGUUUUGGGCUUGAUUUACUUUUUAUUGUGGGUUUGAAAUGUUUAGCCAAUAAAUUAUGGUAGUAAUAAUUCUUAAUAUGAUUUCAAAUUAUGUAUUAAGUUAAAUUUAUUUUACAAGAAAAUAUUUUAUUAUUUAAACUAUUAAACCAAUGAUUUCUACAUUAUCUUAUAGAAUAAAUUCAUAAAGUUUAAAUUAUUUUAUAGAUUCAAAUAGGCCCUUAUAUUUUGAAUUUAUCUGACUAGGUGCGGCGCGACUAGGACGUGAACUUUAAAUUAUUGCAGUUAAUUUUCAAAGCUCAAAAGUUCAAGUUUCAGGUGUGGGAUUUAUUUCAGUACAUGCACGUGGUUAAUAUUUGUCCAUUUUAAUAUUAUGUGUUUACCGUAUGUGUUGUAAAAAUAUUUAUCGCUAGGGGCCAGCAUAAUUGGUCCAGGACUUCACCGUCCUUGGUAUGCCACAAUGCGAUUUCAUGUUACAGGGUUGCAACCAUUAUAUUGUCGCCAGGGGCCCACAUAUAGGGUCCGGGACAUUAAAGUCCUUGGAUUGCCACAGUGCGUAUGGAAAUUUAUGUUACGUUAUGACAAUAUGUGUUACCAUUUUAUUAACAUGGACAAUUAUUGCAUGUUCCCACACUGAGUGUACCCUGUAUGCUCAUUCCAUAUUUAACAUUUUCAGGUAAUUGAUAUCGGAGACGCGUGGAGAGUCGAAUGGGCGCGUCGAAUCUAUUUAAAGAUAAAUGUUUCCUAAAACAUAUUAUGUUAUUUCAUGUGAUAUCUCUUGAUUAUGUAAACUCUGAAAUUCUAUACUAUUUGAGAUUUGUGUGUGAUUUGUUUAAAUAAAUGUUAUUAUAUUAUUUUAAUGUCAUGACUUGUUUAAUUUAUAUUUAAAUUCAUUUCAAAUAUUUAUUUAAGAAUUUAUAUCUUUACGAAAAUAUAUACAUGGAUACAUACAUAAUUUUUAAUCAUAUAAAGAUUUUAUUUGUUAUAUUUUCCGCUGCUAAAAAGAUAUUAUUUUAUACUUAGAGUUUUUCCUUAGUAAAAGUUUUAUUAAUUAGUUAAUUAUUUUUCUGACAUCUUCAUGUCGUGCUUUGAAAAUAAAGUUGUUAAAUUUAUGAUUUCAAAAUCAAGAUUUAUAUUUGAAUACAUUAUUGAAAAUUUUUGAUAUCUUAUAAAUCGUUUUAAAAGUGCUUUAAAAACCAAUUUUAUUUAAAGAUUUCUUUUUCUUAAAAUUAUUUUCGAAAAUAUUUAUUUUAAAAGUGAGUUUUAAAUUAUUUUAAAAGACUUCCGCAUUAAAUAUUUAUUUAAAUUUUAUAUUUAACUCCUUAAUUAGAUUAGGGUGUUACACUGCGUGUCGUAGGCCUCUUAUACGAAUGAAUGCAUGAGAUGAUUUAACUGCUAAUUUCAGUUUUAUAUAUCUAUCAAAUGAGUUUAAUGUUACAUUUGAGCAAGUUAUUUCGUUACAAAAUAUUUGAGUUAAAGUUAUUUCAAGUAUUGUCUUGCCAUAAAAUGUUUAAAUUUUAGUAUGAUAUCUAUCUGCUUUGGCUUUGCCAAUGAUGCAAUCGAAUUCGGGUCCUGAGCAGUUGAUAGCUAUCCUGCCAGGGCUAGUGUACACCAGUGACCGUGAGUCAUCUAGCGGGUUGGCCGGUCAAGUGACCGUGAGAGGUGGUCACCUUUCCGGCACACAGUUUCAGAUAUGAUAGAUUACAAAAGAACUUAGUCUGAUCAGUCGAACUUUAAGAAUCACAAAUGAACUUAGUAAGCUUGGGCCUUUUUAGCGAAAAACUCCCUUGCUGUACUGUUUAUGAUGGCAUGAUAAUUUACAGUUUUGAAGCAUGUAUUUUUAUACUUAGGCAUACGUGCCCACUGAGUACUUUUGUACUCAGCCCUGCAUAUAUUUCUAAAUGUGCAGGUUGAGUAGCUGUCGAUGGUGAUGAAGUGACGACCGGAGUCUUUUGUCUUAUCCUUAUGUAUUAAUGAACUCUGGGGAUACAUGUCUUCAUACAUGUAAUCAGAACCUUAUUCCGCUGCGUACUCAGAAGUUUUAUGUUAUUUUGGCUAAGUCGGAGUUAUCCGAACUUACUAGUUAUUUGAGUCUAUACGACUAAAUCUCCGUUAUAUUAUAAAUAUCCCUUUUGUUAACAAUGAUGAAAUGCGAUCCUUCCUUGUUUGAUUAUCCCCCUUUCUACCCCGCUUCUAAUCUCCCUCCAUUAGUCACGGUUUUCCCGGCUUAAUUAUCCUUAAUUAGGGCCGGUCGUGACACGGGGCGAGGCUCGAGUGCGGGUCGGGAUGAAUUUGGGCGUAGGGCGGGUCUGGGUGCGGGUCAAAGGUCGAAUAAUUCAAAGUCAACAUCAUUAUUGUGAUGAAAAGUAAUAGUAAUCGACAUGAAGAAAAAUAUUAGUAUUUUUUUUUAUGAUAAUUGUAAUAUUUACUCACAAAAACUUGAUACUUUUCGUUUGUUUGGCAAGUGAUUAUUAUCGUAAUAAAAAGUAAUCACUGAUAUGAUCAAAUAUAAUGUUUCUAUAUUUUUUUUUCAGUACAUAAAUGAAUUUUAAGGCUGCGCUUGGGCCGCGACAAAAUUGCCCUCGUAACCUGCUUGCAUUGUCAGGCACGGCCGUGCCAUAGCCCGCCA